AUGCACGCUGGCGGCGUGCCUAAUACAUGCAAGUCGAGCGAACAGACGAGGAGCUUGCUCCUCUGACGUUAGCGGCGGACGGGUGAGUAACACGUGGAUAACCUACCUAUAAGACUGGGAUAACUUCGGGAAACCGGAGCUAAUACCGGAUAAUAUAUUGAACCGCAUGGUUCAAUAGUGAAAGACGGUUUUGCUGUCACUUAAAGAUGGAUCCGCGCCGCAUUAGCUAGUUGGUAAGGUAACGGCUUACCAAGGCAACGAUGCGUAGCCGACCUGAGAGGGUGAUCGGCCACACUGGAACUGAGACACGGUCCAGACUCCUACGGGAGGCAGCAGUAGGGAAUCUUCCGCAAUGGGCGAAAGCCUGACGGAGCAACGCCGCGUGAGUGAUGAAGGUCUUCGGAUCGUAAAACUCUGUUAUUAGGGAAGAACAAAUGUGUAAGUAACUAUGCACGUCUUGACGGUACCUAAUCAGAAAGCCACGGCUAACUACGUG
rnacentral:rRNA from 1 species